GCAAUGCUUAGAUCGACAAAUCAUAAAAACAUGGAAUUUAAACCUGAAAUGGAAGAUCUCAUCUCAAUUAGUGAAAAGACCAAGAUUUCAUAUCUCUAAAACAUGAAUGCAUAUUCGAUUCUAUGCAUUUUUUGUAACUUUAAUCAAACUUCUACUCUAAACAACUCAACUAAAACAUAUCUAACACUAAUAUACUCAAAUUAAUCUAAUUUAAGUAAAAUUGAAUGAUGCAAAGAUUUCGAGUUUUCGGGUUUACCUUGAACUGGGUUCGGGAUUCCCAAAGGAAACAUUUCUGGUUCGCUGCAUGAAGCGGUUGGACCAGGCUUGGACCUGAAUGCAAAAAGAGAACCGGGUUAGAGGUCGAUCAGAUCAAUGGAAAACAAAAACCUAAGACUCCCCUUACCUUGCGGCAGCAAAAAGAGGCGCAGGUUGUGGCCUCCGGGUUUCCUUCGCGCACAAGGCCCUCACAUGCACGUCAAUCUCUUUAUUUCUGCCCUUGGGUUUUCAUAGGCACCACCGUGCACAUCGCUUCCUCUCUUUCCUUUUCCCUCGCUCACUCCCACGGCGGCAUGGACGCCAUCCGUGAAUCGGAGGCUCUUGACCUCGCCUCCCCUUGCGGCGAAAUCUCUCAUCCCGCUCGCUUGUGGCUGUAACUACGCACACCUCCUCUUCCCUCGCUUGCUCAUGGGCGUAUCAAUAACUCCCCUUACCUUGCUUGCUCGUGACUUAUUUUUCCUCCCUCUCGCACUCGUGGUCAUAGCUGCGUACGCUCUCCUCUUUCUCUUCUUCUGCUUGCAGCCUAAGCCGCUUACGUCUCUCUCCUCCUCUCACUCACUCGUGGCCACAACCACUCGCGAGCUUCCCCUUUUUCUCUCUCCUGCUUGCGGUUACUAUCACAAGCCCUCUCUUCUCUGUUUUCUCGCUUCCCCUCACUCGAGGUCGCCACCACAAGCCUCCUCUUUUUCUUCUCCCCUCCCUUGCUUACAGUCACCACUGCGAGUGCUUCCUUUCUCCCUCUCUUGGUGGAGAUCGUCACUGCACGAUCUCCUUCUUUGUCCCUCUCACUUGAUGGCACUCGAUCCUGAAUGAAGGAAAACCUAAUCGAGUUUUCUUAAAUUCACCCUUUUUUCGCCCAUUAGAUCUUCACCGUGAGAUUUGGCUCAUUUACUCGAUCGUUCGAUUGGCUUGCGCAAGAUUCAUAUAUGGGCGUUUGUUUGAAUUUAGAAAGGAAGUCCAUCUGUAGUUUGGGUGGGAAAUCACUACGAUUGUUGGAUCGCACAUUGAUUGAGAACGAAUAUUGGCCAUUGGAUCAGCCUGGCAAGACGCGAUCCUGGCCGUUCGUUUCAAUUCUUGUGGGGAAUGGCUC
rnacentral:lncRNA from 1 species